CUCUACCAAGAAUCAUUUGGCGCUAUCGAGCUUCUUGGGGACAAUGGUUGGGAGCCGUAGCAUUACACCCCGUUCCAGUGCUCGUAGCGUUGAAAACAACCCCACCGAAUCCGAACCGUGGGAGGAAACGUAACCGGACCGCCGCAUCACGUGAUUUCUUUUUAUUCUCUCUGAAGAAUAGCCGAGCAGCAAGUCGGAGGCGGAUACCCACCCCCGCCGUCGCCUCCUGACGAAAGGUUAUUUUUCUUGAUGGGCUUAUCUCUCAGGCCGGAGGGAAAUCCAGGAAGGAGAAAAAGAGUGGUAGAAAAAAUCAGAUUCUUCAGAUAGCAGCAUCGAAAAUUCAAGCCUUAUGGAACCACCCAGCAGGCCUUAAAACCAUUCAUUUUUGGGCCCCAACUUUUAAAUGGGGUAUAAACUUUGCAAAUAUCGCCGUCUUCUCCAAGCCACCGGAAAAGAUUUUCCUACCCCCAGCAAAUUGAAAAACUGGAAUCUUUUCAGUGUAAACGUUGCAAUGGCUGGGACAGGCCUUUAUCAACUUUUUCAUAAAAUUCGGCAUGAUCAUGCUUCUGAGUUAAGGGUACCUGUGAAAGAAUGAACGAAAUCACAUCCUAGACUCUGCAAGCUGUGGAUUCGGCUUGGUGAUCAGGAGCAGUUCAAGAGUGGUUACUGAAGGUUGUCACUAUGGUUCAAAUUCAACAAUGUUACUGUAUCUUGAAUGGAUGAAAGGCGAGGGGGAAAAACCUGAAAUAAAGUUCUGUAAUUCUAUUGAGAGCAGUUGUAUGGUGUUCAUCAUUUGUAGCUGGCUGCUUUCAUUUGUAGUACUGAUGAUACUAUUACACUCAGUUCUAAUUUAGUUCCCCUGCCGUUUGAACGGGAAUAUCGAAUAUGGAUUUUGGUGGGAAAGCUCCAUAGUCCCUUCUAAUUC